rnacentral:rRNA from 1 species
UACGUAGGGUGCGAGCGUUGUCCGGAAUUAUUGGGCGUAAAGAGCUUGUAGGCGGCCAAGCAGGUCAGCUGUGAAAACUCGAGGCUCAACCUCGAGACGUCGGUUGAAACCGCUUGGCUAGAGUCCGGAAGAGGAGAGUGGAAUUCCCGGUGUAGCGGUGAAAUGCGCAGAUAUCGGGAAGAACACCCGUGGCGAAGGCGGCUCUCUGGGACGGUACUGACGCUGAGACGCGAAAGCGUGGGGAGCGAACAGG